rnacentral:rRNA from 1 species
CGUAGGUGAACCUGCGGAAGGAUCAUUAUCGAGUUUUGAAACGGGUUGUAGCUGGUCUCAAUACGGGACAUGUGCACGCCUGACUCAUCCACUCUCAAACCCCUGUGCACUUAUUGUAGGUCGGUGGAAAGACUUGGUUUUUUUAUUAAGUCAAGUUUGGAAGCCUUCCUAUGUUUUUACUACAAACGCUUCAGUUAUAGAAUGUCAUACGCGUAUAACGCAUUUAUAUACAACUUUCAGCAACGGAUCUCUUGGCUCUCGCAUCGAUGAAGAACGCAGCGAAAUGCGAUAAGUAAUGUGAAUUGCAGAAUUCAGUGAAUCAUCGAAUCUUUGAACGCACCUUGCGCUCCCUGGUAUUCCGGGGAGCAUGCCUGUUUGAGUAUCAUGGAAUUCUCAACCUUCAAUACUUUUUUCUGAAAGGUGUUGUAAGGCUUGGACUUGGAGGCUUUGUGCUGGUUCUGUUUUAUUACGGAGUCGGCUCCUCUGAAAUGUAUUAGCGUGAAUCACUAUGGAUCGCUUCGGUGUGAUAAUUAUCUGCGCCGUGGUCGUGAAGUAUUAAUUCAAGUUCGCGCUUCUAAUCGUCC